rnacentral:lncRNA from 8 species
AAUGAAUGGAACGACAGUGACAGAGAAAAAUAAGUUAACUUCUGAAGACUCAUCCAGUACUGGAGGGGCUGUGGUGUGCAACACCAGAUAAAAAGGGUUCAGUGGCUACUAGUUAGCUAGCUAGCCCACUGGGACUGACUAGCCUAGCUAGCUAACAUUAAC